UCACCCCCAUCAUCCUCUUACCAACAUCCCAGAGAGCUUCCCUGAGCGGCUGAAAGAGGGGGUGAGAGCUGUCAGGCUUGAAGCAAUGGAUGGGUGUGGGGUGGGGAGGUGCUCACCCAGGCAUCUGCCCCAUCCUCCACGCAUGUGCUUGCGGCCCCUGGCCUGCACACGGCUCCCGCGCUAGACAGAGCCAACAGGAGACAGUGCAGCCAUCACGGAGGUCUACACAGCUCUGGCCAUGGAGGAAGAACCCUUGGUCUUGCGCUCCUCUCCCUCUGUACGUUUGUUACACCCCCACCUCACCUCCUGGAAGUCAGAAACCAAAUGUUAUUCAUCUUCUACACCCGGCUACUGUCACAUGGAGGGCAAUGCAUCCAUGUGGUUGGCUGAAGCGACAGAACAGGAAGAGGCGAGUGAAGCUGGAAAGAUGCCCUCAGCUCUCCAGAGGGCCGUCUGGGGGCAUACUGCACGAGGUCCACUGAGUGGGGCCAGAGCCUACGGAUGGGGGGCCGGGGAAGGCACGCGCUGCGGAUGAGGACACUAGCUGCCCACUGUUGAUUGUCUUCAUCAUGGAGGGAUAUCCAUGACCAUAAUAUUCCCGGCUCUGCCCAUUAUUAGGCAAAUGGUGAGUCUGGGCUUAGAAACCAGGCUCUUCCCUGUCUUCCUUUGUUAGUAGCAGGUUGUCCUCAGCCCUGGGAGCGCCUGGGAGAGGAGAUGCACUGCGAGGGGCCUGCACCCACCUAGCACUGCUGUGCCUGACCAGGAAAACCCAACAUGCAUUAUAUGGGCAAAUGCCAUUAAUAAUCACACAGCUGAACACCAGCAAUUUGGUCUCCACGGCAACAGAAGAUGAUGACAUUUAGCUCAGAGGGUUGUCAUGAACAUGAAAUGGGAGAAAGUACAGAGAGACCGGGAGCCAUGGGACAAGAGCUAUUCACCUCUGGUCCACUGCUGGGGCAUCUGUUGUCUGGAGCUGCGCAGUGAAGAACAGUGACUGAGCCCCGCCCGUGCAGCCCAGGAGCUUUGAGUCUGGUGAGAGCCAGCCUAGAGAACAAGCUGUGACAAUGAAAUACAAAGGUUGCCAUGAUAAGUGUGAGCAAGAGGAUAUUUGGGGCCCUGAGAAGAGAUUCUCACCCCAGCUUGUGGUCAGAAGAGAGAGUGGGAACUGGUGGAACUGGUAGACUUUUGGAGGUAAGAAAGCUGCAAUCAACAAAGCCUCACAGAACAGACAGAGGCACAGAGGUCUGAGCUUGUGCUGCCUUCUUCACAGACACGGAACAGCCGCUGGUUGAGCCAGGGAUGCGACCGAGCUCUAGCUGUAGUAGAGCCCUUUCUGUGUGCAUCGUCUCCAGCUCAAAGAGGUGACGAGCCCAAGGACUAGAGUGACAAAUUCUUGGUUUGAACAUAAGUGUGUCCAGGUCCCAAGUCUGUACCUUGUGGUGCAUUCCAGGAGACCUCUACUGGAGGGUACAUCACAGUCUCCUGGGGAGAUAUUUAAACUACCGCUGUCUAAACUUUAUUCUAGCCGGGCUGAACUGAAAUCUCUGGGAGUAAGGUUCACAUAUGCAUAAUAAAAAAAAAAGGCUCCCCAGGAGAUUCUGAUGUGUCCUUCUGGUUAAUAACUCUGCAGGGGGAGCCCCAGGAAAGGCUCUCUGCUUGUGGCCCAGUACCACGUUCAAGGUUGUUUACACCAAUGAGCUACUAAGAAGUGCGCAUCUGAUGGACUUGUGCCGUCUAUACCACAGCUGAGAAGCUGUGACGCUUGACAGGCAUAUGAUGGGGUGGGUAAUAACCUGAGGUUGACCUGGUGGUUUGACAGGCCGAGCUGAACAACUGACUCCCUGAGCCAGCUUCCUGGGGGUGUAUGGCAUACAGGGCAGUCUUUACGUUGCUUAGCUGAAUUUCUCAUUCUUCCUCUUAACUGCAAGUACACUUCAGUGAAAAAGAAGGAAGGAGGGGAGAGGGAAGCUGGGCUUGCAAGAGCUGCCUGCAUUGCAGCAAGAGGCCCUCGUGGACCUCCUGGCUCCCAGGAUUCUCCCCAGCCGCCUGCCUGCAGCGUGCGCUCUUCCUGGGCCAGCAAACAUCUUAGACCGAGGAGAGAAGCAGGGGCCUUAGGGAACUCGGUGGGCACUGUCCUGCUAGUUUGCUAAUUGGGUUCAAAACAGAACGUAGCUACAUGUGUGGGGACUGCUUCAUCUCUCCUGAAAAUAAAACCAAAAGUGCCUACAUAAGCACUCACAGGUCUGUGCAUGUGCACACUC